AAAACUGGUAGUGAUCCUCAACGCGUUGCGAUGGUCCCUAAACACGCAAUCGCCGAAACGCGUCACCUAACGACGCGACGUUGAACCACAGGAUGGACACGCGAGACGCCAUAUUGAGCGGUUUAGGUGUUUACGUGGUUCCGAAUAAAACUCGUGGAAAAAGUUGAUCGAUCGUCGUACAAUUUGCUCGAGGUAUCACUGGACGAUUGAAUUGGUGCAGCGGCAAUUCCGCGCGGUGAUAGAAUGAGCGGCAGCGACAACGAGGACGGUCAAUGCAACAGGAGUAGAGAAAGCAACACAGUAAUGAUGGGUGACGUUCUCACUAAGAAACACACAGAUAAUGCUCCUUGCAACGGCUGCAUCAACGCAGACAGCGAUUUAACGCGACAAAACAACGACCGGGUUUUUGAUUACACGGAGGACGUUGUCAGGUCUCCUGUUGUCGCAGACUCCGUUCCUGUCGCGAGCGUGACACUAGACGAAAACGCGGUUGAUGAGUUUAUCAAAGGUGCGAGGAGUCCCGAGAGCAUCAAGCAAACCGCGUUGAGAAUGAAUUCGGAUGUUGUCGAUGAGAAUUCGAGCGGCAACACGAGUAUUGAUAAUCCCUCUAGGGGAAAGGAAUCGUGUUCCUGUGAUACGUAUAAAGCAAAGAGAGAGUUGUUUAAAGCGGAGCUACAGAAGGCCAUGAAAUUUAAGAAUUUAUGGAGGGAGAUACAGCAACAUAUAAGGGGUUGUUUCAAUGUUGCUUUGGAAACAUCUCGUAUUCCGGGAGGUUUACAAUUUCAUCAUAAUGUAUUUUCUUAUGCAAUGGACGACGUGCAUGAAAUUGUUUUACAACUGUGUAAAAGAGACCCUCAUCAGUUGUUUAUGAGGCUAGUGAAUUUGACACAAGGAUUUGUUAUAGAAGUAAAAGUUCGAUUAUUAGCUCUCCUACAUGAUCGUAGUGUAAAUAAUUUAGCAGAAAUUUUUCUUACAGGUCUUUUAGAUGAUUAUGAUGCGUUGAUAUCAACAGCAUCAAAGAUUACAGAAUUUGUAAAACCUUUGACAGAUCAUCUGUGUAAAUUUAAUUUAUCUUGGGAAUGUUUUAUUAAGAAGUUGUAUCAAAUCUAUGUAUAUGAUGAUCCGUUGGUGCAAAAUAAUUUGCCAUCUUUUAUUGAACAGUUAAAAAAACUUGUGCCUUUAAAAGGCUUAGAGUAUCGAGGUCUAGUUUUUCGAUAUUUACCAUUCUAUGAUGAAAUGGCACUAAUAGCGGAUCUGUGGUUAGAGACUGAGUCAUGGAUGGACAUGUAUAAUGCAGAACAAACAGUUCGGAUGACAAGGCUUAAACAAAUAAGGGAAGCUUGGGAAUUAUUUACGGCGACGAGGAAGGUCAUGGAGCAACGAGUGACGAAUGUUGAAAAUGAAUUACAAGAAAAUGACAGGCAACUUUCAACAGUUGUACCGCAAACUAAAGCUGCUGUAUCGGAAACUGAUAGUAGGCCUCUUAGUCCAGUUCCGGAUUUUAAUUUAGAGUUACUUAGUAUGCUUCCAAAUAUCGAGGUAGUUCAAAUUUUAUUGGAUGAUUGGAACAAAACUCAGCCUCAAAAAUUAGCCGAUAUAGCAGGUGUAUUGACUAGCGCGGACGUUUAUACCAAUGGACAAGAUAACAAUGAUUAUACUCGUACAUGGUGUUAUUUAGCUCCGUUUAGAUCAAUCAGGGUGCAUAACGAAGACGCGUGUACGGAGAAUGGUGUAGAGGAGGGAAGAAACUGCGAAUGUCACGUGUGUACAGGACUUUCGUCAUUUCUAAUUGUUAAUAAAAAUGACGCGGAAAACUUAGUAUUACCGUUAGAAAAUUCUUUUCCACAGUUCACAAUUGAUUUUUUAGAAGACCCAGCGAAUUAUUCUGUCACACAAGUGAAGAAAAAAGUGGAAGAUAUAGAAACGAAAGAAAUACAAAGCGAAGAGAAAGAAUUAAGUAUAAGAGAAGAUGUCGAUUUUAGAGCAUUCGACCCUCAACCUUGUUCGUGCGUGUAUCAGCACGCGAGGGAAAUAACAGAGAGGAAGCCGGUGCUAGAAAAUCCUCCUUGUCCGUGUUUAUUAAAUUUUAAAAGGAAAUGUGACACCUGUCCUUGUUUAACGAAAACUAAUGCUGUGUCUGAAGUUGUCGUACCAAACGGUCAUCCAAAGCCAGUAUCGCCUCCUACUGUGAAGGCUAAUCAAGAACCAAAUAAACCUGCCGUGAAAACAGGUUCUACACAGUCUGCUCAAACACAAACGAGGCAUUCUACAACGCAGACGCCGAAUACCAGUCAUAAUCACACAACGCAUCAAGCAGGUGCCACUCAUUCACAUACGCAUGGACCCUUGCCAGACCUGGUAAAAAAUACAGGACCCACUCACAGACCUCAUGCACAGAAUAGUCAUCCGUCGUGCGCUUGUCGCAAACAAGCUAAUGUUGAACACAUAAAGAGAGUGUCCUGUAACGAUCUAAGUUCUGGUGAUGGAGAUUGUUCGGAUUCAGGAAGUAGUCAAGAAGACUCUUGUUCUACUAGUAGUUCUGCACAAAGAGAUUCGAGUAGGCAUUGCGAUUGUUGUUACUGUGAAGUUUUUGGACAUGGGGUUCCCUCUGUAGCACCAGUUAGCCGAAAUUAUAACGAAAUGAGGGAACGAUUACGGCAAUUACUGACCAAGAAGAAAGCUAAGAAAUGCAAGGCUACGUGUAGUCCGUCGAAGAGCCCUUCGGAACCGUUAUCAACCACCACGAAUACGGAAACGAAGAUAGUAUCGAACACGGCACCUAGAUCGAAUACUCCAGUGGCGACUGUUCCUCCGAUGCAGCCGGAUCAACGAGAUCAGAGGGAUUUGGAGGAGCUGCUCGAGUUCAUUGAGGGAAACCAGAAUGGAAAGAAAGAUAACAAUAAAAAAGCUGAGAAAAAGGCCAGACAAAAACAGAGGAAGCUCGAGGAGAAGCUGAAGAGGGACAGACAAGAAGCAGAGAGACAAAAAUUGAUAGAGUUACAGAAAAAAACACCGGAAGUAACGAUUACUGUUGUAGAUCCGCAGAAACCCGUUCCUCAAAGAUUAUUACCUCAGUGUAAUCUACCCGAAGUAUCUAUUUUACCUACAUCACCGCCAAUAACGUUGCCGAUCGUAAAGCAAUUAAGUAAUAAAAAGAAAGACAAACAAGAAGUUUGUAGCAAUAGUAGUAAUAUCAGUAGCAGUAGCUGUAGCAGCAGCAGCAGUAGUAGUAGUAGUAGUAGUAACAGUAGUAUAAAUAGCAAAACGAAGACUGCACCUGUGAAUACAAAUACAAAGAACAAAAGUAUUAUUGCUAAUAAAGUUGACAAGACUAUGGUUCACGGUCAAACGAAUAAGACGACGACGAAAAAUGAUAAAAUGGAAGUUAGUAGUAAAAAUAACAAAACACAGAUGAAUAACAAUGGCAUAAACGUUAAAAAUAAUGCAAAUAAUGUCACGGAGAAGUCUUUAACUGUUGACUCGAACGAUAAGAAAUUAACGAAGAAAGAGAGAAAAAAGUUGAAGAAAGAGAUGAAGAAGAUGGAGGAGGCAAAAACAAAGGAAAUAAAGAAACCGGUUCAGACGGAGAGUCAACCACAGAUCGUGACAAUUAAAAGGGUUAUGGAAUCAAAUAGUGCUGAACCUACAGUAACAAUUACCUUAAAGGGUCAAACACCAGCGGAAGAUAAAGUUUUGUUCACGUUGGUAAACGGUCAGACUAAGGAGGUUGCUUCCCUGAAACUGGAUAACGAGCAGAACCAGAACAUCAGCGGCAAGAAGAAAAAAGCUAAAUCAAAUAAUAACAACAAUAAUAAUAACACCAACAACAAUAACAAUAUUCAUUCACUGCAAUCUGGAAACAAGCAACAACAAAUUAAUAAUUCUAAACAACAGGUACAAAACAAGAUCUGUGAUACCAAAAACAUAAAACAGUCGAACAAAGGGAAACAGUUAGACGAGAAGAAAGUUCAGCAGCAGAAUAUAACCGAAAUUAAAACGAAAUCCAAGAAAGAUAAGAAAAAUACUGAGAAUAAGGAGAAUGUGCUUCAACAGAACGCAGUGAACAAGAACAAAAGUCAACAGCAGAAUGUUCCGAAUAAGAAACAGAAUAAGAUGAACACUCCACCUCAAACACCGGCGUCUCAGAAGUCUUCGCAAAACUUGACUAUCACAAAUGAUAAUAAUAAAAAGUCAAAGGUUCAGCAGCAGGAGAAAAACAAUCUGGUGAAUAAGAAUAAUAAGAAUGUAAGCUCCAAUGUCACGGUUAAACAAACAAAGAAUGAUAAUCAAAAAGUUCAGAAUAAGGUUUCAAAUCAGACGACGACGGUAAAACAGCGAUCGGAGAUUCAAUCCAUACCCCAAGAACGUGUUAAUUCACCGUUGAGUAAUCAGUUCAAAGAUAUCGGCGCCAAUUCUAAGAUCAAUAUAGAGAAUUUAAAACUACCACCUGGCAUUACCAUAACGAAGGUCGAUGCUCCUGCGAAGCCUUUGCCAAUCAGAUCGGCACCUUUGCCCAAACCAGUGAAUCCUCCUAAACAAACUACGAUAAUCGCUGCACCGAUGAGCGGUGUUCAGUCCAGUUACGCGAGUCCUCAAGCGGGUGGAAAUGUGAUCGUAGUGGACACGGGAAAAUUGAAGCAGGAUCUUCUGCCCAAGUCCGCAGAAAAAGACGUGCUUAAAGAAACACAACAAAGCCAAAGCAGUAGUAGUAAGAAAAAGAAGAAGAAGAACAAGAACGCGACCAACUCUGGUAACACGAAUCAAACCACAGUACAAAGUGACCCCUUUACGAAUGACCACCCGGACGAACCAGCCAGAAUACUUCAUAACCCAAACACGAACAUGGUAACCAUAAGGAACCCUGCGUUCGGUCCAAUGAAGGUACCACCCACGCAACAGGCAGCCAUCAUAAAGGUGUCAGAGAAUGGUAUGGUCACCAUACGAAGUCCAGCAUUGCAACAGGCGAUCAAUGCUGGCCUCACGUCGCCGCCAAAGCCGGACUAUAUCGUGAAGGGUGAUCUAUCUAAAACGACGACGGAUAACUCGAACUUGAAGCACCCUAACGGUAUCAUUCCUUCGAGUUUGGCGGAACUGCGAAGCAGGCUGACGCCAGAUUGCACGGCGCUGAGUGGUCUCGCUAACAUUCAGAUCAGUAAAGUAACGAAUGGUCAACCGAUUCCGGAGAACGGGAUCAACCUAAAGGGGACCAGCGUGACCCUGACCAAAGUGAGGACGGACACCAGCAUGGAAGAUGUUCAGAACGCUAAGACUGCUGUCAGGGAAGCGAUAAACGCGUCAAUUGCAGUGUCGAGUAGCGAAAAGAGCAAGAAAAAGAAGAAACGUGGAACUGGCACGAGACAGUGCGGGGAUGACUGGAACCUCGUUGGAGAGGGCAGUGUACCGCGUUAGGACGAAGUCUCGGUCAGCUAUAGGUUGAUUGAGAACAUUUUUCAAAUACCGGGAUACGCUUCGGGAUCUCCUCGAAUUGGCAGCCACGAAUUUCUUGGGGGAUUGCCUGGAAGAGAACUCUGGCCAUUGUUUCUGUUUGAAAGUCGGUCAUGAUCAUGGGAGCACUCAGCAGGAGCAUGAUAACUUAUAGAGACAGAGAGGGACACCUUGCGCGUUAGCCGGUUAGACGGAAGCUUGACAAAGAAAAUGGGAAAGAUAAAGAAAAGAUACGUAGAUCACUCGAGAGUGUCAGCUUUGCCAGGUCCAUUGACCAUGCGAGUUCACGUCUAUCUACUUAUCUACCAAAAGUCUUUAUCGAUUGACCCGUCACGUGCACCUAUGUAGGUGAUAGCGACGAUAUUUCUCUUGAACCUGAUCUAACGACAUUUUAAUAAAACCGAUACUUUUUCCAACGU
rnacentral:misc_RNA from 1 species